GGGUUGUGAGGUUAAGCGACUAAGCGUACACGGUGGAUGCCCUGGCAGUCAGAGGCGAUGAAGGACGUGCUAAUCUGCGAAAAGCGUCGGUAAGGUGAUAUGAACCGUUAUAACCGGCGAUGUCCGAAUGGGGAAACCCAGUGCAAUUCGUUGCACUAUCGUUAACUGAAUACAUAGGUUAACGAGGCGAACCGGGGGAACUGAAACAUCUAAGUACCCCGAGGAAAAGAAAUCAACCGAGAUUCCCCCAGUAGCGGCGAGCGAACGGGGAGCAGCCCGGAGUCUGAAUCAGCUUGUGUGUUAGUGGAAGCGUCUGGAAAGUCGCAGGGUACAGGGUGAUACUCCCGUACACUAAAACACACAGGCUGUGAACUCGAAGAGUAGGGCGGGACACGUGGUAUCCUGUCUGAAUAUGGGGGGACCAUCCUCCAAGGCUAAAUACUCCUGACUGACCGAUAGUGAACCAGUACCGUGAGGGAAAGGCGAAAAGAACCCCGGCGAGGGGAGUGAAAAAGAACCUGAAACCGUGUACGUACAAGCAGUAGGAGCCCACUAGUUGGGUGACUGCGUACCUUUUGUAUAAUGGGUCAGCGACUUAUAUUCUGUAGCAAGGUUAACCGUAUAGGGGAGCCGCAGGGAAACCGAGUCUUAACUGGGCGUUAAGUUGCAGGGUAUAGACCCGAAACCCGGUGAUCUAGCCAUGGGCAGGUUGAAGGUUGGGUAACACUAACUGGAGGACCGAACCGACUAAUGUUGAAAAAUUAGCGGAUGACUUGUGGCUGGGGGUGAAAGGCCAAUCAAACCGGGAGAUAGCUGGUUCUCCCCGAAAGCUAUUUAGGUAGCGCCUCGUGAAUUCAUCUUCGGGGGUAGAGCACUGUUUCGGCUAGGGGGUCAUCCCGACUUACCAACCCGAUGCAAACUACGAAUACCGAAGAAUGUUAUCACGGGAGACACACGGCGGGUGCUAACGUCCGUCGUGAAGAGGGAAACAACCCAGACCGCCAGCUAAGGUCCCAAAGUCAUGGUUAAGUGGGAAACGAUGUGGGAAGGCCCAGACAGCCAGGAUGUUGGCUUAGAAGCAGCCAUCAUUUAAAGAAAGCGUAAUAGCUCACUGGUCGAGUCGGCCUGCGCGGAAGAUGUAACGGGGCUAAACCAUGCACCGAAGCUGCGGCAGCGACACUAUGUGUUGUUGGGUAGGGGAGCGUUCUGUAAGCCGUUGAAGGUGGCCUGUGAGGGUUGCUGGAGGUAUCAGAAGUGCGAAUGCUGACAUAAGUAACGAUAAUGCGGGUGAAAAACCCGCACGCCGGAAGACCAAGGGUUCCUGUCCAACGUUAAUCGGGGCAGGGUGAGUCGACCCCUAAGGCGAGGCCGAAAGGCGUAGUCGAUGGGAAACAGGUUAAUAUUCCUGUACUUGGUGUUACUGCGAAGGGGGGACGGAGAAGGCUAUGUUGGCCGGGCGACGGUUGUCCCGGUUUAAGCAUGUAGGCGGAUGUUCCAGGUAAAUCCGGAACGUCACUAACGCUGAGGUGUGAUGACGAGGCACUACGGUGCUGAAGUGACAAAUGCCCUGCUUCCAGGAAAAGCCUCUAAGCAUCAGGUAACAUCAAAUCGUACCCCAAACCGACACAGGUGGUCAGGUAGAGAAUACCAAGGCGCUUGAGAGAACUCGGGUGAAGGAACUAGGCAAAAUGGUGCCGUAACUUCGGGAGAAGGCACGCUGAUGGUAGGUGAAGUGACUUGCUCAUGGAGCUGAAAUCAGUCGAAGAUACCAGCUGGCUGCAACUGUUUAUUAAAAACACAGCACUGUGCAAACACGAAAGUGGACGUAUACGGUGUGACGCCUGCCCGGUGCCGGAAGGUUAAUUGAUGGGGUUAUCCUCACGGAGAAGCUCUUGAUCGAAGCCCCGGUAAACGGCGGCCGUAACUAUAACGGUCCUAAGGUAGCGAAAUUCCUUGUCGGGUAAGUUCCGACCUGCACGAAUGGCGUAAUGAUGGCCAGGCUGUCUCCACCCGAGACUCAGUGAAAUUGAACUCGCUGUGAAGAUGCAGUGUACCCGCGGCAAGACGGAAAGACCCCGUGAACCUUUACUAUAGCUUGACACUGAACACUGGUCCUUGAUGUGUAGGAUAGGUGGGAGGCUUUGAAGUGUGGACGCCAGUCUGCAUGGAGCCGUCCUUGAAAUACCACCCUUUAAUGGCUGGUGUUCUAACGUGGGCCCGUGAUCCGGGUUGCGGACAGUGUCUGGUGGGUAGUUUGACUGGGGCGGUCUCCUCCUAAAGAGUAACGGAGGAGCACGAAGGUCAGCUAAUCCUGGUCGGACAUCAGGAGGUUAGUGCAAUGGCAUAAGCUGGCUUGACUGCGAGCGUGACGGCGCGAGCAGGUGCGAAAGCAGGUCAUAGUGAUCCGGUGGUUCUGAAUGGAAGGGCCAUCGCUCAACGGAUAAAAGGUACUCCGGGGAUAACAGGCUGAUACCGCCCAAGAGUUCAUAUCGACGGCGGUGUUUGGCACCUCGAUGUCGGCUCAUCACAUCCUGGGGCUGAAGUAGGUCCCAAGGGUAUGGCUGUUCGCCAUUUAAAGUGGUACGCGAGCUGGGUUUAGAACGUCGUGAGACAGUUCGGUCCCUAUCUGCCGUGGGCGCUGGAGAAUUGAGGGGGGCUGCUCCUAGUACGAGAGGACCGGAGUGGACGCAUCACUGGUGUUCGGGUUGUCAUGCCAAUGGCAUUGCCCGGUAGCUAAAUGCGGAAGAGAUAAGUGCUGAAAGCAUCUAAGCACGAAACUUGCCCCGAGAUGAGUUCUCCCUGACUCCUUGAGAGUCCUGAAGGAACGUUGAAGACGACGACGUUGAUAGGCCGGGUGUGUAAGCGCAGCGAUGCGUUGAGCUAACCGGUACUAAUGAACCGUGAGGCUUAACCUUACAACGCCGAAG
rnacentral:rRNA from 13 species